UGGGGAAUUUUGGCCAAUGGGCGCAAGCCUGAUCCAGCCAUGCCGCGUGCAGGAUGAAGGCCUUCGGGUUGUAAACUGCUUUUGUACGGAACGAAAAGGUGCCUUCUAAUAAAGGGCGCUCAUGACGGUACCGUAAGAAUAAGCACCGGCUAACUACGUGCCAGCAGCCGCGGUAAUACGAAGGGUGCAAGCGUUACUCGGAAUUACUGGGCGUAAAGCGUGCGUAGGUGGUUGUUUAAGUCUGAUGUGAAAGCCCUGGGCUCAACCUGGGAAUGGCAUUGGAAACUGGGCAGCUAGAGUGCGGUAGGGGGUAGUGGCAUUCCCGGUGUAGCAGUGAAAUGCGUAGAGAUCGGGAGGAACAUCUGUGGCGAAGGCGACUGCCUGGACCAGCACUGACACUGAGGCACGAAAGCGUGGG
rnacentral:rRNA from 1 species